CCCUUAGAUGUUCUGGGCCGCACGCGCGCUACACUGAUUCAUGCAACGAGUUUUGUCCUUGGCUGAAAGGCCUGGGUAAUCUUUGAACGUGAAUCGUGCUGGGGAUAGAUGAUUGCAAUUAUUCAUCUUCAACGAGGAAUUCCUAGUAAACGCAAGUCAUCAGCUUGCAUUGAUUACGUCCCUGCCCUUUGUACACACCGCCCGUCGCACCUACCGAUUGAAUGGUCCGGUGAAAUCUUCGGAUCUGAGAGAUGUUGGAUUAAUUUCGGACGCCUUUUGGAAAAGUUGUUUAAACCUUACCAUUUAGAGGAAGGUGAAGUCGUANCA
rnacentral:rRNA from 1 species